UACGUAGGGCGCAAGCGUUGUCCGGAAUUAUUGGGCGUAAAGAGCUCGUAGGCGGCUUGUCACGUCGGGUGUGAAAGCCCCGGGGCUUAACCCCGGGUCUGCAUUCGAUACGGGCUAGCUAGAGUGUGGUAGGGGAGAUCGGAAUUCCUGGUGUAGCGGUGAAAUGCGCAGAUAUCAGGAGGAACACCGGUGGCGAAGGCGGAUCUCUGGGCCAUUACUGACGCUGAGGAGCGAAAGCAUGGGGAGCGAACAGG
rnacentral:rRNA from 1 species